rnacentral:rRNA from 1 species
GACGAACGCUGGCGGCGUGCUUAACACAUGCAAGUCGAACGAAGAGCGAUGGAAGCUUGCUUCUAUCAAUCUUAGUGGCGAACGGGUGAGUAACGCGUAAUCAACCUGCCCUUCAGAGGGGGACAACAGUUGGAAACGACUGCUAAUACCGCAUACGAUCUAAUCUCGGCAUCGAGGAUAGAUGAAAGGUGGCCUCUACAUGUAAGCUAUCACUGAAGGAGGGGAUUGCGUCUGAUUAGCUAGUUGGAGGGGUAACGGCCCACCAAGGCGAUGAUCAGUAGCCGGUCUGAGAGGAGGAACGGCCACAUUGGGACUGAGACACGGCCCAGACUCCUACGGGAGGCAGCAGUGGGGAAUCUUCCGCAAUGGACGAAAGUCUGACGGAGCAACGCCGCGUGAGGGAUGACGGCCUUCGGGUUGUAAAGCUCUGUUAAUCGGGACGAAAGGCCUUCUUGCGAACAGUUAGAAGGAUUGACGGUACCGGAAUAGAAAGCCACGGCUAACUACGUG